rnacentral:rRNA from 1 species
UACGUGUAGAGUGAUGAGAGUACCUUACGAAUAAGCAUCGGCUAACUCCGUGCCCAGCAGCCGCGGUAAUACGGGGGAUGCAAGCGUUAUCCGGGAUUUAUUGGGUUUAAAGGGUGCGUAGGCGGUGAAUUAAGUCAGCGGUGAAAUUUAGGGGCUCAACCUCUACCGUGCCGUUGAUACUGGUUCGCUGGAAUGCGGAUGCCGUGGGAGGAAUGUGUGGUGUAGCGGUGAAAUGCAUAGAUAUCACACAGAACACCGAUUGCGAAGGCAUCUCACGAAUCCGCGAUUGACGCUGAGGCACGAAAGCGUGGGGAUCAAACAGGAUUAGAUACCCUGGUAGUCCACGCUGUAAACGAUGAUGACUAACCGUCGGCGAUACACAGUCGGUGGCCAAGCGAAAGCGAUAAGUCAUCCACCUGGGGAGUACGACCGCAAGGUUGAAACUCAAAGGAAUUGACGGGGGCCCGCACAAGCGGAGGAACAUGUGGUUUAAUUCGAUGAUACGCGAGGAACCUUACCCGGGCUCGAACGGCAGGGGAAUGAAUCAGAGAUGGUUCAGUCUUCGGACUCCUGUCGAGGUGCUGCAUGGUUGUCGUCAGCUCGUGCUGUGAAGUGUCGGCUUAAGUGCCAUAACGAGCGCAACCCUUGCCAUUAGUUGCCAUCAGGUAAAGCUGGGGACUCUAGUGGGACUGCCACCGCAAGGUGUGAGGAAGGGGGGGAUGACGUCAAAUCAGCACGGCCCUUACGUCCGGGGCGACACACGUGUUACAAUGGCGAGUACAGAGGGAAGCUACCUGGCGACAGGAUGCAGAUCUCGAAAGCUCGUCCCAGUUCGGAUUGGAGUCUGCAACCCGACUCCAUGAAGUUGGAUUCGCUAGUAAUCGCGCAUCAGCCAUGGCGCGGUGAAUACGUUCCCGGGCCUUAUACACACCGCCCGUCAAGCCAUGGAAGCUGGGGGUGCCUGAAGUACGUGACCGCAAGGAGCGUCCUAG